rnacentral:rRNA from 1 species
AGUAGCCGCGGUAAUUCCAGCUCCAAUAGCGUAUAUUAAAGUUGUUGCAGUUAAAAAGCUCGUAGUUGAAUUUCGGGGUUAGUAGGUUGGUCGUGCCUUUGGUAUGUACUGGUCUCACUGAUUCCUCCUUCUUGAAGAACUGUAAUGUCAUUAAUUUGGUGUUGCAGGGAAACAGGACUGUUACUUUGAAAAAAUUAGAGUGUUUAAAGCAGGCUAAUGCCUGAAUACAUUAGCAUGGAAUAAUGAAAUAGGACGUUUGAUCCUAUUUUGUUGGUUUCUAGGAUUGACGUAAUGAUUAAUAGGGAUAGUUGGGGGCAUUAGUAUUCAAUUGUCAGAGGUGAAAUUCUUGGAUUUAUUGAAGACUAACUACUGCGAAAGCAUUUGCCAAGGAUGUUUUCAUUAAUCAAGAACGAAAGUUAGGGGAUCGAAGACGAUCAGAUACCGUCGUAGUCUUAACCAUAAACUAUGCCGACUAGGGAUCGGAUGAUGUUAAUUUUUAAUGACUCAUUCGGCGCCUUAC